CGAAGGGUGCAAGCGUUACUCGGAAUUACUGGGCGUAAAGCGUGCGUAGGUGGUUCGUUAAGUCUGUCGUGAAAGCCCCGGGCUCAACCUGGGAAUGGCGAUGGAUACUGGCGGGCUAGAGUGCGGUAGAGGGUGGUGGAAUUCCCGGUGUAGCAGUGAAAUGCGUAGAGAUCGGGAGGAACAUCAGUUGCGAAGGCGGCCACCUGGACCAGCACUGACACUGAGGCACGAAAGCGUGGGGAGCAAACAGGAUUAGAUACCCUGGUAGUCCACGCCCUAAACGAUGCGAACUGGACGUUGGGAGCAACUAGGCUCUCAGUGUCGAAGCUAACGCAUUAAGUUCGCCGCCUGGGGAGUACGGUCGCAAGACUG
rnacentral:rRNA from 1 species